UGAGUACGAGACGCUAAGGCGUCGAAGUAGUGGAUGUCAUACUUCCAAGAAAAGCUUGCACUGUCAUAAAUAAAAACGCCUGUACCAUAACCGACACAGGGUAGGUAGAGUAUACUAAGGGGCGCGAGAUAACUCUCUCUAAGGAACUCGGCAAAAUAACUCCGUAACUUCGGGAGAAGGAGUGCCUUAUUCGUAAGGCUGCAAUAACAAGAUCCAAGCAACUGUUUAUCAAAAACACAGGUCUCCGCUAAGUCGUAAGACGAUGUAUGGGGGCUGACGCCUGCCCAGUGCCAGAAGGUUAAAGAAGUCGGUUAGCAUUAGCGAAGCUGGUAACUGAAGCCCUGGUGAACGGCGGCCGUAACAAUAACGGUCCUAAGGUAGCGAAAUUCCUUGUCGGGUAAGUUCCGACCCGCACGAAAGGCGUAAUGAUUUGGAUACUGUCUCGGAGAGGGGCUCGGUGAAAUAGACUUGUCUGUGAAGAUGCGGACUACCUGCACCAGGACAGAAAGACCCUAUGAAGCUUUACUGUAACUUGAAAUUGAAAUUGGACUUUAUUCGCGCAGUAUAGGUGGGAGGUGUUGAUUAUAAUCUUGCGGGAUUAUUGGAGCCAUCAGUGAGAUACCACUCUUGUAAUGUUAGAUUUCUAACUUUGAAUCAUUAUCUGGUCAAAGAACAGUUUCGGGCGGGCAGUUUGACUGGGGCGGUCGCCUCCUAAAUGGUAACGGAGGCGUACAAAGGUUUCCUCUGAACGGGUAGAAAUCGUAUCUAGAGUGUAAAGGCAUAAGGAAGCUUGACUGUGAGACCUACAAGUCGAGCAGGGACGAAAGUCGGUCUUAGUGAUCUGACGGUACUGAGUGGAAAGGCCGUCACUCAACGGAUAAAAGUUACUCUAGGAUAACAGGCUGAUCUCCCCCAAGAGUUCACAUCGACGGGGAGGUUUGGCACCUCGAUGUCGGCUCAUCGCAUCCUGGGGCGGUAGUACGUCCCAAGGGUUGGGCUGUUCGCCCAUGAAAGCGGUACGCGAGCUGGGUUCAGAACGUCGUGAGACAGUUCGGUCCAUAUCCGGUGUAGGCGUUAGAAUAUUGAGAGGAGCCUUCUUUAGUACGAGAGGACCGAGAAGGACAUACCUCUGGUGUACCAGUUAUCGUGCCAACGGUAAACGCUGGGUAGCUAUGUAUGGAGUGGAUAACCGCUGAAAGCAUCUAAGUGGGAAGCCCACCUCAGAUAAGUAUUCUCAUC
rnacentral:rRNA from 1 species